AAACAUUUAUGGCUAUUAGAUGGGUAUGCGUCCUAUUAGUUAGUUGGUAAGGUAACGGCUUACCAAGGCAGCGAUAGGUAGGGGUCCUGAGAGGGAGAUCCCCACACUGGUACUGAGACACGGACCAGACUCCUACGGGAGGCAGCAGUGAGGAAUAUUGGACAAUGGGCGAGAGCCUGAUCCAGCCAUGCCGCGUGCAGGAAGACUGCCCUAUGGGUUGUAAACUGCUUUUACAGAGGAAGAACCACCCCCACGUGUGGGGGUUUGACGGUACUCUGCGAAUAAGGAUCGGCUAACUCCGUG
rnacentral:rRNA from 1 species